GUUGCCUCGGCGCAAGCUACCCGGGACCUCGCGCCCCGGGGGGCCCGCCGGCGGACAAACCAAACUCUGUUAUCUUCGUUGAUUAUCUGAGUGUCUUAUUUAAUAAGUCAAAACUUUCAACAACGGAUCUCUUGGUUCUGGCAUCGAUGAAGAACGCAGCGAAAUGCGAUAAGUAAUGUGAAUUGCAGAAUUCAGUGAAUCAUCGAAUCUUUGAACGCACAUUGCGCCCAUUAGUAUUCUAGUGGGCAUGCCUGUUCGAGCGUCAUUUCAACCCCUAAGCACAGCUUAUUGUUGGGACUCUACGGCUUCGUAGUUCCCCAAAGACAUUGGCGGAGUGGCAGCAGUCCUCUGAGCGUAGUAAUUCUUUAUCUCGCUUUUGUUAGGCGCUGCCCCCCCGGCCGUAAAACCCCCAAUUUUUUCUGGUUGACCUCGGAUCAGGUAGGAAUACCCGCUGAA
rnacentral:rRNA from 1 species